rnacentral:rRNA from 1 species
GUUCGCCCAUUAAAGUGGUACGCGAGCUGGGUUCAGAACGUCGUGAGACAGUUCGGUCCCUAUCCGUCGCAGGCGUAGGAAAUUUGAGAAGACCUGUCCUUAGUACGAGAGGACCGGGAUGGACGUACCUCUGGUGUACCAGUUGUUCUGCCAAGGGCAUGGCUGGGUAGCUAGGUACGGAAUGGAUAAGCGCUGAAAGCAUCUAAGCGCGAAGCCAACUUCAAGAUAAGAUUUCCCACCGCAAGGGUAAGACCCCAGAAAGACUAUCUGGUUGAUAGGUCGAAGGUGUAAGUGCAGCAAUGUAUUUAGCUUAUCGAUACUAAUAGGUCGAGGACUUGACCA